rnacentral:rRNA from 1 species
UUUGAAAUCCGGUGCUCUUUGGGCGCCCGAGUUGUAAUCUGCAGAUGGGUUUUCCGGUGAGGCGCGCGUCCAAGUUCCCUGGAAUGGGACGCCGUAGAGGGUGAGAGCCCCGUACUGGCGCCGCGCCGAGCCUCUGUGAGGCCCAUUCGACGAGUCGAGUAGUUUGGGAAUGCUGCUCUAAUUGCGAGGUAAAUCUCUCGUAAGGCUAAAUACCGGCCAGAGACCGAUAGCGCACAAGUAGCGUGAGCGAAAGAUGAAAAGAGCCUUGGAUAAGGGCGUCAAAAAGCAUGUGAAAUCGUUAUGGGGGAAGCGCUCGUCGCCAGACGUGGCGGCGGCUGGUUAGCCGGCGUUCUCGCCGGCGCACUCGGACCGCCGCCAGGCCAGCAACAGCUCGGGCUGGGGCCCACUGCCGGAGGGAACGUAGCUCCCCUUGUGGGAGUGUUAUAGCCCUUCGGCGACGCCCUGGACCGGGCUGAGGACCGCGCCUUGCGCACGGAUGCUGGCGUAAUGGCGCCUAGCGACCCGUCUUGAAACACGGACCAAGGAGUUGACCUAGCGCGCGAGUGUACGGGUGUAAAGCCCUUGCGCGUAGUGAAAGCAAACGCUGGUGGGAGCCUUCGGGCGCACCAUCGACCGAUCCUGAUGCUCCGCGGAUGGAUUUGAGUAGGAGCGCGCUGGGUCUGACCCGAAAGAAAGUGAACUAUGCAUGGGUAGGGUGAAGCCAGAGGAAACUCUGGUGGAGGCUCGCAGCGGUUCUGACGUGCAAAUCGAUCGUCAAACCUGUGCAUGGGGGCGAAAGACCAAUCGAACCUUCUAGUAGCUGGUUCCUGCCGAAGUUUCUCUCAGGAUAGCAGAGUUGGGGCCUCAGUUUCAUGAGGUAAAGCGAAUGAUUAGAGACCCGGGGGCGCUAUUUAGCCUUCAUCUAUUCUCAAACUUUAAAUAUGUGAGAAGCCUCGUGUUACUUUUUUGAACGCAGGCGGCCGAAUGAACCAACUCUAGUGGGCCAUUUUUGGUAAGCAGAACUGGCGAUGUGGGAUGAACCAUACGGGGGCUUAAGGCGCCGGAGUGGACGCUCAUCAGACACCACAAAAGGUGUUAGCACC